rnacentral:rRNA from 1 species
UACGUAGGGGGCAAGCGUUGUCCGGAAUUAUUGGGCGUAAAGAGCGUGUAGGCGGUCCGGUAAGUCAGCUGUGAAAGUCAAGGGCUCAACCCUUGAAUGCCGGUUGAUACUGUCGGGCUAGAGUCCGGAAGAGGCGAGUGGAAUUCCCGGUGUAGCGGUGAAAUGCGCAGAUAUCGGGAGGAACACCAAUGGCGAAGGCAGCUCGCUGGGACGGUACUGACGCUGAGACGCGAAAGCGUGGGGAGCGAACGGG